ensembl:lncRNA
UGGCCCAGAGAGAGCAUUUUACAGCACAGCUCUGCUCCUGCUACAUGACCCUCCACUGCCAAGAGACAAAGGCCCUGCUCCACAGGGGAGAACUUCUUCCUCUAAGAGCAAUUCGUAAUAAUCAAGGACAAUUUGGAGACUGUAGCAGACUUAAGAAGAGGAGCCCCAGCUACCUGUCUGCUUGCCUGUGUCUUUGGAGGUGUUCUUGGAUAUCUCAAGCCUAAUGUGGGCAGGACUCUCUAGAUCCUGCUUCAGGGGCACCUGCUGGGGCUCCCCCUAUGAGCCUGGACUUGCUGCGAGAGAGCAGAGGGUGUGGAAGAGUCCAGCUGGAACACUUCCUCUGGGCAGAGCCCGUGGAGGGGACCAGCUCUGAAGGUCACUUGGUCAGUGCCCAACAGCACUGACACAGAGACGGGAGAUAAG